UCAGCAUUUGUCAGGCUACACUUUAACCCACUUCCUUCUAACUGAAAGUCACGUAGCGCUAGUGACUAUCUGCACCCCUACUGUUCCUAUGGACGGAAUCUCUGACUUCAGAAUCAUGAGGCUUUUGUUUAAGAAUUCCUUAAGACGUUUCAGAUCCUUAAUUCCAGGCCAACCAGUUUGAAGAGCCCCACAGAGGAAGUGAACCAGCAUGAGAAUACAGCAUCUUCAACCCCACCCCAUGACUCCACCCUGCUUCACCCUGCACUUCUCCACCGGCCACAGCCUCCCUCAGGUGCACCUGAGCCUCCCCUUCCCAUUCCAGGCUUUUCCCCGGCUCUGCCCCCGCCUGCUGAGGAAUCUCGGUCAACACAAGAGAGGACGGCGACUCCCUUGUACAGCAAGUCCUGAAUAAAUCGUCUUUUGUUCUCAUUUGCGUGGGCUUUAUUUCCACAGCUGUUAUCCUCCUAUUUGUAAAACGGAGGCACCUGGGACCAGCUCCAGCAAGGAGAGUGAGGAUCCGACUCCAGGAAGCACCUCAGGAACAAAGGCCUCAAGGCCAACACCUUCCACGGCACAAGCCCAACAGAGCUGCAGGAACCGUACAAGCAGCGGGAACAUCCCUUUCUCUUCUUGACUAUGUUUUCCCCUGAUGCUUUGCUUUCCACAUAGAAGAGUUUUCCAUUUUCGUGGGGUCAACUCUGCCUUCACUCAUUCAACAAUGAUGGGGGGCUCUGCCCCGCUCCCCCCAGGCUUCAACCACACCUGACUGCCCACCCCUUUGGGCCCUUCCCUGAAGUGACAGACCAGGCUGUGCCCUGGCAGGUAAGAGAAAGGACCCCACAACCCAUUCAUGGGCCGCUCCAGCUGGGGCCUUGCAUGCAGGAGCGGACCAGUCCCCCUGAGGGACAGCCCUUGGGUGGGGGCUCUGGGUCAUUUUGAGGAGUCAAUCACACCAACAGGUGCCUAGCACAGGCCCCACCCCCACCCCAAAUAAGGCAAGCGACCCUUCCCUUCCGCAGGUGGUCCAGUCUAACAGAAACCCUAAACCAAAGGGACUGUGUGGUGGCUCAAGCCUGUCAUCCCAGCACUUUGGGGGAUGGAUCGAUUUUAGCCUAGGAGUUCAAGACCAGCCUGGGCAAUAUAGUGAGACUCCAUCUCUACAAAAACACUUUUUAAAAAAAUUAGGGGUGCAGUGGUUUAUGCCAAUAAUCCCAGCACUUUGGGAGGCCGAGGUGGACAGAUCGCUCAGAAGUUCCAGACCAGCCUGGGUAACAUGGUGAAACUCUCUGUCUCUAUAUAUGUGUGUGGUAGGGUGGGCCUGUGGUCCCAGCUACUAUAGCAGCUGAGGUGGGAAGAUCGCUUGAGCCCAGGAGGUCCAGGCUGCAAUGAGUUGUGAUCAGGCCACUGCACCCCAGCCUGGCCAACAGAGCAAGACUCUGUCAAAAAAAAAAAAAAGAAAGAAAGAAAAGAGGUCAGGUACGGUGGCUCACGCCUGUAAUUCCAGCACUUUGGGAGCCCGAGGCAGGUGGAUCACGAGGUCAGGAGUUCGAGACCAGCCUGGCCAAUAUGGUGAAACCCCGUCUCUACUAAAAACACAAAAAUUAGCUGCGCAUGAAGGCGCGCGCCUGUAGUCCCAGCUACUCGGGAGGCCGAGGCAGGAGAAUGGUGUGAACCCCGGAGGCGGAGCUUGCAGUGAGCCGAGAUUGCGCCACUGCACUCCAGCCUAGGCGACAGAUCCAGACUCCGUCUCAAAA
rnacentral:lncRNA from 10 species